rnacentral:rRNA from 1 species
GCACCCGCGGUAAUUCCAGCACCAAUAGCGUAUAUUAAUGCUGCUGCUGUUAAAAAGCUCGUAGUUGGAUCAAGAGUCGGACAGUGCACGGUGGCCCUGUUUGCUAGUCUGGCUACGGUCAGGCUAGCGGCAGCGGAAUUACCCCGUGCGCCAAACUGUCCGCUCUAACAGGCCGAAGCGGUUCCCUGUGAGUAGGCUCCUUCAUUGGGGCUGAAAGCGCCUACGCAUCAACCACAUGCAUACGGGACGUCGGCCAAAGUUACUGUGAACAAACCAGCGUGUCCAAAGCAGGCUUGCGUGAAUGUUCGAGCAUGGAAUAACAAGGGAUCGAUUCUAUCGGUUCUCUUUGUUGGUUUUUAACCCGAUAAGGAGUAAUGCAGGCCACGGUGUCUGAGGUGGGUUUCCCUAGGCCCUCGGUUUAGGCCCCAUCUAGGCCGUGUCCUUACGGGAUCAAUAGGGACUGACGGGGUCGUACCUACUUCCGCGUCAGAGGUGAAAUUCUUAGAUCGCGGGAAGACGAACUUCUGCGAAAGCAUUCGACAAGAAUGUCUUCAUUAAUCAAGAACGAGAGUGUGGGGAUCGAAGAUGAUCAGAUACCGUCGUAGUCCACUACUGUAAACAAUGCCGUCUCAGGAUUGAGAAGUGAACAGAAUGACUUUCACAGCACUAACCCCUGAAACGAGAAAUCAAAGAUUAUGGGUUCAGGGGGGAGUACAUUCGCAAGGCUGAAACUUAAAGGAAUUGACGGAAUGACACCACAAGGCGUGGAGUAUGCGGCUUAAUUUGACUCAACACGGGGAAUUUUACUAGGUCAGGACAAUGUAAGGAUUGACAGAUUGAGAGCUCUUUCUCGAUCCAUUGUGUGGUGGUGCAUGGCCGCUCCUGGUUGGUGGAGUGAUUUGUCUGGUUGAUUCCGUUAACGAACGAGAUCUCGACCCUUAAAUAGGUGCCCAUGUCGUCUGUAGUCUCGUCUCCGCCGGCUUGCUGGAUUGGAGCGGGACGAGACUGUGGGAAUACUUCUUAAGGGGACUGUGUGCGUCUAUAGCACGCGGAAGAGCGAGCCAAUAGCAGGUCUGUGAUGCUCCUAAAUGUCCUAGGCUGCACGCGCACUACACUGAUGCAAUAAACGAGUCUGAGUGCCUUCUGGCAACCUACCCGGAAGCGGGUGGGAAAUCUUUUGAACUGCAUCGUGAUGAG